GAGCUGCAUGGAUUUGGAGUCUUAUCCUCACUAGAAGAGAGGAAUGCACCCAAUGGAAAAGAGGAGAGCAACCAAAGUCUAAGCUAAGAGCAUAGUUUCAUAAAGUAUUUCCUCUGGCAUUCAUAGUUUUUGUGGACACACCUGAUACCUGAAAAAAACAAUCUGAAUAUCCAAAACAUCAUUCACUGUUAAAUCCAGGAAACAUCCUUGGAUUUGGAAAUUAUGGAAGGAGAAAUUAUUAUUGGAACUGUACUGAACCUUUAGCUCAAU
rnacentral:lncRNA from 1 species